rnacentral:rRNA from 1 species
ACACAUGCAGUCGAGCGGAGAUGAGGUGCUUGCACCUUAUCUUACGGCGGACGGGUGAGUAAUGCUUAGGAAUCUGCCUAUUAGUGGGGGACAACAUUCCGAAAGGGAUGCUAAUACCGCAUACGUCCUACGGGAGAAAGCAGGGGAUCUUCGGACCUUGCGCUAAUAGAUGAGCCUAAGUCGGAUUAGCUAGUUGGUGGGGUAAAGGCCUACCAAGGCGACCAUCUGUAGCGGGUCUGAAAAGAUGAUCCGCCCCACUGGGACUGAGACACGGCCCAGACUCCUACGGGAGGCAGCAGUGGGGAAUAUUGGACAAUGGGGGGAACCCUGAUCCAGCCAUGCCGCGUGUGUGAAGAAGGCCUUAUGGUUGUAAAGCACUUUAAGCGAGGAGGAGGCUACUGAGACUAAUACUCUUGGAUAGUGGACGUUACUCGCAGAAUAAGCACCGGCUAACUCUGUGCCAGCAGCCGCGGUAAUACAGAGGGUGCGAGCGUUAAUCGGAUUUACUGGGCGUAAAGCGUGCGUAGGCGGCUUUUUAAGUCGGAUGUGAAAUCCCCGAGCUUAACUUGGGAAUUGCAUUCGAUACUGGGAAGCUAGAGUAUGGGAGAGGAUGGUAGAAUUCCAGGUGUAGCGGUGAAAUGCGUAGAGAUCUGGAGGAAUACCGAUGGCGAACGCAGCCAUCUGGCCUAAUACUGACGCUGACGUACGAAAGCAUGGGGAGCAAACAGGAUUAGAUACCCUGGUAGUCCAUGCCGUAAACGAUAUCUACUAGCCCGUUGGGGCCUUUGAGCUUUAGUGGCGCAGCUAACGCGAUACUAGACCGCCUGGGGAGUACGGUCGCAAGACUACAACUCAAAU